rnacentral:rRNA from 1 species
GGUUAAGCGACUAAGCGUACACGGUGGAUGCCCUGGCAGUCAGAGGCGAUGAAGGACGUGCUAAUCUGCGAAAAGCGUCGGUAAGGUGAUAUGAACCGUUAUAACCGGCGAUGUCCGAAUGGGGAAACCCAGUGCAAUUCGUUGCACUAUCGUUAACUGAAUACAUAGGUUAACGAGGCGAACCGGGGGAACUGAAACAUCUAAGUACCCCGAGGAAAAGAAAUCAACCGAGAUUCCCCCAGUAGCGGCGAGCGAACGGGGAGCAGCCCAGAGUCUGAAUCAGCUUGUGUGUUAGUGGAACGGUCUGGAAAGUCCGACGGUACAGGGUGAUAGUCCCGUACACCAAAAUGCACAGGUUGUGAACUCGAAGAGUAGGGCGGGACACGUGGUAUCCUGUCUGAAUAUGGGGGGACCAUCCUCCAAGGCUAAAUACUCCUGACUGACCGAUAGUGAACCAGUACCGUGAGGGAAAGGCGAAAAGAACCCCGGCGAGGGGAGUGAAAAAGAACCUGAAACCGUGUACGUACAAGCAGUGGGAGCACCUUCGGGUGUGACUGCGUACCUUUUGUAUAAUGGGUCAGCGACUUAUAUUCUGUAGCAAGGUUAACCGUAUAGGGGAGCCGCAGGGAAACCGAGUCUUAACUGGGCGUUAAGUUGCAGGGUAUAGACCCGAAACCCGGUGAUCUAGCCAUGGGCAGGUUGAAGGUUGGGUAACACUAACUGGAGGACCGAACCGACUAAUGUUGAAAAAUUAGCGGAUGACUUGUGGCUGGGGGUGAAAGGCCAAUCAAACCGGGAGAUAGCUGGUUCUCCCCGAAAGCUAUUUAGGUAGCGCCUCGUGAAUUCAUCUUCGGGGGUAGAGCACUGUUUCGGCUAGGGGGUCAUCCCGACUUACCAACCCGAUGCAAACUACGAAUACCGAAGAAUGUUAUCACGGGAGACACACGGCGGGUGCUAACGUCCGUCGUGAAGAGGGAAACAACCCAGACCGCCAGCUAAGGUCCCAAAGUCAUGGUUAAGUGGGAAACGAUGUGGGAAGGCACAGACAGCCAGGAUGUUGGCUUAGAAGCAGCCAUCAUUUAAAGAAAGCGUAAUAGCUCACUGGUCGAGUCGGCCUGCGCGGAAGAUGUAACGGGGCUAAACCAUGCACCGAAGCUGCGGCAGCGACACUAUGUGUUGUUGGGUAGGGGAGCGUUCUGUAAGCCUGCGAAGGUGACCUGUGAGGGUUGCUGGAGGUAUCAGAAGUGCGAAUGCUGACAUAAGUAACGAUAAAGCGGGUGAAAAGCCCGCUCGCCGGAAGACCAAGGGUUCCUGUCCAACGUUAAUCGGGGCAGGGUGAGUCGACCCCUAAGGCGAGGCCGAAAGGCGUAGUCGAUGGGAAACAGGUUAAUAUUCCUGUACUUGGUGUUACUGCGAAGGGGGGACGGAGAAGGCUAUGUUAGCCGGGCGACGGUUGUCCCGGUUUAAGCAUGUAGGCUGGUUAUCCAGGCAAAUCCGGAUAAUCAAGGCUGAGGUGUGAUGACGAGGCACUACGGUGCUGAAGUAACAAAUGCCCUGCUUCCAGGAAAAGCCUCUAAGCAUCAGGUAACAUUAAAUCGUACCCCAAACCGACACAGGUGGUCAGGUAGAGAAUACCAAGGCGCUUGAGAGAACUCGGGUGAAGGAACUAGGCAAAAUGGUGCCGUAACUUCGGGAGAAGGCACGCUGGUGUGUAGGUGAAGCCCCUGCGGGUGGAGCUGAGACCAGUCGAAGAUACCAGCUGGCUGCAACUGUUUAUUAAAAACACAGCACUGUGCAAACACGAAAGUGGACGUAUACGGUGUGACGCCUGCCCGGUGCCGGAAGGUUAAUUGAUGGGGUUAUCCGUAAGGAGAAGCUCUUGAUCGAAGCCCCGGUAAACGGCGGCCGUAACUAUAACGGUCCUAAGGUAGCGAAAUUCCUUGUCGGGUAAGUUCCGACCUGCACGAAUGGCGUAAUGAUGGCCAGGCUGUCUCCACCCGAGACUCAGUGAAAUUGAACUCGCUGUGAAGAUGCAGUGUACCCGCGGCAAGACGGAAAGACCCCGUGAACCUUUACUAUAGCUUGACACUGAACAUUGAGCCUUGAUGUGUAGGAUAGGUGGGAGGCUUUGAAGCGUGGACGCCAGUCUGCGUGGAGCCAACCUUGAAAUACCACCCUUUAAUGUUUGAUGUUCUAACGUUGGCCCCUUACCGGGGUUGCGGACAGUGUCUGGUGGGUAGUUUGACUGGGGCGGUCUCCUCCCAAAGCGUAACGGAGGAGCACGAAGGUUAGCUAAUCCUGGUCGGACAUCAGGAGGUUAGUGCAAUGGCAUAAGCUAGCUUGACUGCGAGCGUGACGGCGCGAGCAGGUGCGAAAGCAGGUCAUAGUGAUCCGGUGGUUCUGAAUGGAAGGGCCAUCGCUCAACGGAUAAAAGGUACUCCGGGGAUAACAGGCUGAUACCGCCCAAGAGUUCAUAUCGACGGCGGUGUUUGGCACCUCGAUGUCGGCUCAUCACAUCCUGGGGCUGAAGUAGGUCCCAAGGGUAUGGCUGUUCGCCAUUUAAAGUGGUACGCGAGCUGGGUUUAGAACGUCGUGAGACAGUUCGGUCCCUAUCUGCCGUGGGCGCUGGAGAAUUGAGGGGGGCUGCUCCUAGUACGAGAGGACCGGAGUGGACGCAUCACUGGUGUUCGGGUUGUCAUGCCAAUGGCACUGCCCGGUAGCUAAAUGCGGAAGAGAUAAGUGCUGAAAGCAUCUAAGCACGAAACUUGCCCCGAGAUGAGUUCUCCCUGAGACUUUAAGUCUCCUGAAGGAACGUUAAAGACGAUGACGUUGAUAGGCCGGGUGUGUAAGCGCAGCGAUGCGUUGAGCUAACCGGUACUAAUGAACCGUGAGGCUUAACCUU